rnacentral:lncRNA from 1 species
GUUAUUUUAAUUAAUUUAAUAAUUAAUUGGAGAUUUAAUAAUUUGACAUAAUUAAUAAAUGAGAAAUUUAAUUAUGUGACUAUGUGAAUUAAUGAGAAAUUAUUAUAUGCUAUUUAAAAUAAAUUAAAUAAGAUAUUGGAGUUAUUUUAUAAAGGGGUGUGACAUUAUUUAAACUAUAUGAUAAAAGUUUAAUUAAAUUAAUUGGGUAUAAGCCUUUUAAGGCUAGCCAAACAUGGCAUUAGUGGAG